UUAAACUGGGAUUAGAUACCCCACUAUGCUAAGCCGCAAAUAUAACUACAAUUACAUCCGCCAGAAUACUACAAGCAAUAGCUUGAAACUCAAAGGACUUGGCGGUAUUCCAAACCCAUCCAGAGGAGCCUGUUCUAUAAUCGACAAUACCCGCUAAACCUCACCAUUUUUUGUUUACCAGCCUAUAUACCACCGUCGCCAGCUAACCUUUUGAAAGUAAAAUAGUUAGCACAAAGAAUCUCCUCAAAACGUCAGGUCAAGGUGUAGCAAAUGAAAUGGGAAGAAAUGGGCUACAUUUUCUUAUCAAGAAUAAACGAACGGUGUAAUGAAAAAUCACCUGAAGGCGGAUUUGACAGUAACUAGAAACAAUCAUAUUCUACUUAAAACAGCAAUGGAAUACGCACACACCGCCCGUCACCCUC
rnacentral:rRNA from 1 species